rnacentral:rRNA from 1 species
GGAUUGUAAACUCCUGUCGUUAGGGACGAUAAUGACGGUACCUAACAAGAAAGCACCGGCUAACUACGUGCCAGCAGCCGCGGUAAAACGUAGGGUGCAAGCGUUGUCCGGAAUUACUGGGUGUAAAGGGAGCGCAGGCGGGAAGACAAGUUGGAAGUGAAAACCAUGGGCUCAACCCAUGAAUUGCUUUCAAAACUGUUUUUCUUGAGUAGUGCAGAGGUAGAUGGAAUUCCCGGUGUAGCGGUGGAAUGCGUAGAUAUCGGGAGGAACACCAGUGGCGAAGGCGGUCUACUGGGCACCAACUGACGCUGAGGCUCGAAAGCAUGGGUAGCAAACAGGAUUAGAUACCCUGGUAGUCCAUGCCGUAAACGAUGAUUAUUAGGUGUUGGGGGAUUGACCCCCUCAGUGCCGCAGUUAACACAAUAAGUAAUCCACCUGGGGAGUA